rnacentral:rRNA from 1 species
UACGUAGGCAGCAAGCGUUGUUCGGAGUUACUGGGCGUAAAGGGUGUGUAGGCGGUUCUUUAAGUUUGGUGUGAAAUCUCCCGGCUCAACUGGGAGGGUGCGCCGAAUACUGAGGGGCUAGAGUACGGGAGAGGAAAGUGGAAUUCCUGGUGUAGCGGUGAAAUGCGUAGAUAUCAGGAGGAACACCGGUGGUGUAGACGGCUUUCUGGACCGUAACUGACGCUGAGACACGAAAGCGUGGGGAGCGAACAGG